rnacentral:rRNA from 1 species
CCUACGGGUGGCAGCAGUGGGGAAUAUUGCACACUGGGGGAAACCCUGAUGCAGCGACGCCGCGUGAGUGAAGAAGUAUUUCGGUAUGUAAAGCUCUAUCAGCAGGGAAGAAACAAGACGGUACCUGACUAAGAAGCCCCGGCUAACUACGUACCAGCACCCGCGGUAAUACGUAGGGGGCAAGCGUUAUCCGGAUUUACUGGGUGUAAAGGGAGCGUAGACGGCGCGGCAAGUCUGAAGUGAAAGGCAGGGGCUUAACCCCUGAACUGCUUUGGAAACUGCCAUGCUAGAGUGCGGGAGAGGUAAGUGGAAUGCCUAGUGUAGCGGUGAAAUGCGUAGAUAUUAGGAGGAACACCAGUGGCGAAGGCAGCUCACUGGACUGUAACUGACACUGAUGCUCGAAAGUGUGGGUAUCAAACAGGAUUAGAUACCCUUGUAGUC